AACGAACGCCGGCGGCAGGCUUAACACAUGCAAGUCGAGCGGGCCCUUCGGGGUCAGCGGCGGACGGGUUAGUAACGCGUGGGAACGUGCCUUCUGCUUCGGAAUAGCCCUGGGAAACUGGGGGUAAUACCGGAUGUGCCCUGAGGGGGAAAGAUUCAUCGGCAGGAGAUCGGCCCGCGUCCGAUUAGGUAGUUGGUGGGGUAACGGCCCACCAAGCCGACGAUCGGUAGCUGGUUUGAGAGGAUGAUCAGCAACACUGGGACUGAGACACGGCCCAGACUCCUACGGGAGGCAGCAGUGGGGAAUCUUAGACAAUGGGGGCAACCCUGAUCUAGCCAUGCCGCGUGGGUGAUGAA
rnacentral:rRNA from 1 species